GUGGUACUCCAUCCGUUCUAAAUUCUUGUCUUAAAUUUGUUUAGAUAUGAAUAUAUCUAGUCAUGCUUUAGUUUUUAGAUAUAUCUAUUUCAAGAUAAACCUAAGAUAAGAAUUUUGAGACAGAUGGAAGUAAUUU
rnacentral:pre_miRNA from 1 species